rnacentral:rRNA from 1 species
UACGUAGGUGGCAAGCGUUAUCCGGAUUUAUUGGGCGUAAAGGGAACGCAGGCGGUCUUUUAAGUCUGAUGUGAAAGCCUUCGGCUUAACCGGAGUAGUGCAUUGGAAACUGGGAGACUUGAGUGCAGAAGAGGAGAGUGGAACUCCAUGUGUAGCGGUGAAAUGCGUAGAUAUAUGGAGGAACACCAGUGGCGAAGGCGGCUUGCUGGACGAUGACUGACGUUGAGGCUCGAAAGCGUGGGGAGCAAACAGG